UUAGCUUUGUCUAAUAGUUCCAGAGCAGGUGAGCUCAAAGGAAGAAAGGUUGAAGUCUCAAGUCAAUGUACAGGUACCUCUGGGACGGAAGGUGACUACAAACUAUUCCACAACACUCUGCUUAUGGAGCAAGGAGAAUGGUGACUGAGGACAUUGCAGAAAACUCUGCUUUUAGUAAAACUGAAAGCAAUGAAACAUUGAACCAGACUCAUGAAAGUUGUCAGGAGGAAUAAGCACAGCUCUGGGCAGUGUAUCUGCAUGGAUCAGAGAUGGUCCACGACUGGGGCUCCUCAGCACUAUGGUAAUUCAAAUAAUAUUGAUCCCCACAAAAACAGAUGCUAUUUUCUGUUGCCUUUUCAGUGGUGAAUGUUUUUUAAACUGGAGAAUGUUUUCCAACAGCACACGUUUGAAGACAGAUGAAUGUGGGGCUUACACCACUUUACAGUUUGCUUUGAAACUAGAAACCAUAAAUAUCUAAUGACAGCAUAGGCCCCACCCCUGCUCCUGCACAGGGCGCUGCUGGUGUGGAGCUCAGUUUAAACAAGAGAUUCUCACCAUUUAUGUGAAGUAAGGUUCUAUUCUGAAAAGUGACUGAAUGACCAGUGCUUGUCUACAUGGUGCAUCAGAUGCGGGUGUAAACGCCAAUGUGCACCAGUGUAGACUCUGCUGGUGUGGGUUAAGGUAGUACUGUUUAAUGUAGGACUACA